AUGGAGGAUGUGAUCUUCGAGGGUGGGCAUGGCCAUGCCUACGAUCCUAAAGAGACCCAAAGUCAGGAUGGCCGCGCCCCGUACAUUGCCGAUGAAGAGGCCGACGACCUUUCUGACUAUGACCAUGGUGACUCGUGGCAUGAACAUGAUGACAUCUAUUGCGAAGGUGAUGGUGAUGAAGAAGAAGGAAAUGACAUUGAUAUUGGUGGUGAGCCAUUGUUUAUCGACGAGCUCACCCAAAGAGCGGAAGCACAAAAGAGGAGGAAGAGCAUUCGCACGGGUUCAUAUACACAAGAGGAGGACAAGUUGAUUUGCCAAUGUUGGAUGGAGAUUAGCCAAGACCCGAGGACCGGCGCACAACAAAAGGGCCUUGUUUUUUGGACGAGAGACCACAAAACAUUCCAAAAAAGGAAGAUGUUUAAGCCCUACUUGAAGGAAAUAUGCCCUAGAGGCAAUAGUAAAGUUGUUAUUCAUAUUUCCUUAUAUCAUGAUAAAUGUUUAUUAUUCAUGCCAGAAUUGUAUUAA
rnacentral:rRNA from 1 species